rnacentral:rRNA from 1 species
AGGCAGCAGUUGGGAAUAUUGCACAAUGGGCGGAAGCCUGAUGCAGCGACGCCGCGUGAGGGAUGACGGCCUUCGGGUUGUAAACCUCUUUCAGCAGGGACGAAGCGUAAGUGACGGUACCUGCAGAAGAAGCACCGGCUAACUACGUGCCAGCAGCCGCGGUAAUACGUAGGGUGCGAGCGUUGUCCGGAAUUACUGGGCGUAAAGAGCUCGUAGGCGGUUUGUCACGUCGUCUGUGAAAUCCUAGGGCUUAACCCUGGACGUGCAGGCGAUACGGGCUGACUUGAGUACUACAGGGGAGACUGGAAUUUCCGGUGUAGCGGUGGAAUGCACAGAUAUCAGGAAGAACACCGAUGGCGAAGGCAGGUCUCUGGGUAGUAACUGACGCUGAGGAGCGAAAGCAUGGGUAGCGAACAGGAUUAGAUACCCUAGUAGUCC